rnacentral:rRNA from 1 species
UACGUAGGGUGCAAGCGUUAAUCGGAAUUACUGGGCGUAAAGCGUGCGCAGGCGGUGAUGUAAGACAGGUGUGAAAUCCCCGGGCUCAACUUGGGAACUGCAUUUGUGACUGCAUCGCUGGAGUGCGGCAGAGGGGGAUGGAAUUCCGCGUGUAGCAGUGAAAUGCGUAGAUAUGCGGAGGAACACCGAUGGCGAAGGCAAUCCCCUGGGCCUGCACUGACGCUCAUGCACGAAAGCGUGGGGAGCAGACAGG